rnacentral:rRNA from 1 species
AUACGUAGGGGGCGAGCGUUGUCCGGAAUGAUUGGGCGUAAAGGGCGCGUAGGCGGCCCGGUAAGUCUGAAGUGAAAGUCCUGUUUUUAAGGUGGGAAUUGCUUUGGAUACUGUCGGGCUUGAGUGCAGGAGAGGUAAGUGGAAUUCCCAGUGUAGCGGUGAAAUGCGUAGAGAUUGGGAGGAACACCAGUGGCGAAGGCGACUUACUGGACUGUAACUGACGCUGAGGCGCGAAAGUGUGGGGAGCAAACAGGAUUAGAUACCCUGGUAGUCCACACUGUAAACGAUGAAUGCUAGGUGUAGGGGGUAUCGACCCCUUCUGUGCCGCAGUAAACACAAUAAGCAUUCCGCCUGGGGAGUACGGCCGCAAGGUUGAAACUCAAAGGAAUUGACGGGG